rnacentral:lncRNA from 1 species
GGGAGGGACGUCCAUCGUGUAGCGCUGGCCCCCGGGGUUCACUCAGGGUGGAAAUAAAACUGAGUCCCUACUGGACUGUCUUUCUGCUGCUGCCUAAAGAAACCGCCACAAACCUCGAGGCUUAAACAGCAGGAAUUCAUCAUCCGACAGCUCGGGGGUCGGCAGCCCGCGGUGGUCGUCACUGGGCUCCGAUCGGGACGGGGGCCGGCUGGUUCCUCCACAGGGUCUGUUCCGCGCUCGCUCGGCACUGGCAGCACUCAGGUCCGUGCGGUGCCGGCAUGGGUCUGCGUCCUCGCCGGUGCCGCCCAAGGGCUGUGCUCGCGCCCCGGCCCACGGCCCCUCUGCAUCUCCAGGGCGAGGCCAGCCUCCCGUCUCCCUCUGCGCGACCGCCGCUGGGGAAGGGCCCACACGAUUAGGCCCGGCCGCCGGGAUCCUCCAGGACGUGACCAUGACCAUGCCGGCACGUCCCUCGGCCACGAGAGCUGACAGGUUCCCAGGCCCAGGGUUCGGACGUGGAACUUUGGGGUCGUCCUUCUUCCUCCCACGCCCACCUCACACCACACACAGAAACCAGCUGUGAAUGAAUUCCAGACGAGAGAGUCCAAACAGACCCGUAAACUCACGAGAGGAGGAGAAGGCGGCCGUCGAGCCAGAGAAGGACUUUUUCUUAACAAGACACAGAAAGCGCUGAUCAUAAACGACCAAGAAAUUCAGCCAUCAAAACUUCAGUAUUUCCGACCAUCGAGGGCUCUGAAGGACGUGACACCAGACACAGAGACACGCGCCACAGACAUGACGCAUUAGCACCACACAGACAGAGAACGUCUGUGAAUCCGUGAGAAAACAGAUAAAUCAAGUGAAAAACAGGGAAAAGCCAUGAAGAGGCCACACCACAGAGGGAAGUCCACGUGGAGACGUGAGCGGAUGCUUGGUGUCACGAAUAACCGGGAAAACGAAGUCCACGUGUGCACGAGACAGGCUGGAGGAGGAGAGCAGCCCGGAGGAGGACGCCAGCUCGACGUCCCGGCCCCAGCAGACGCCGCCUGGACCCAAGAGCCCCACCGAGCCCGCGGGGUGCAGAGCCACGGCAGGGGGUAAAUCCUCACGGCGUGAAGCCGCCAACUGGGGGCUGCCUGUCCCGCAACGACUCGUGACUGAGCCCCACCCCAUCCUGUCAAAGCGCCCGGCGGGUCUGCAGGGUCCCCGACUGGCUCCUGCCGGCCGCUGCCCCAGCACCCUCUCCCCCGCCCUCUCGUCACCCUGCAGCCCUCCUUUCUGCCACACACACCAAGCCCCUGCUGUCCCAGGCCCAAGCGCUGGCCACCCCUCACUUUUCAUGUGGAAAAGCCACCUCCUCCGAGAGGCCUUCCGUGACCCCCCAUCUAAGGCGGGGCCUCCUUUUGUACGUAAAUAAGAGGGGCCUUCAGGGUCGUUUCAUGGCGCUUAUGAUGGUCUUGUGGGCCCCGCGAGCGCAGGGCUGGGGUCUUGUCCCACCUGGGCAGGGCCGGGCCGCAGGGUUUCAGUAAACGCCGGGGUGAAGGUCUCUUGUCGGCCGCUGGGGAAGCCAGCAGUACCGCACAGUGGCCACGAGGUGCCGCCCCGCUCACGGGCGCGCUGGUCUCCCCAUGGGGCGUCUACACGACCGAGGGCCUCGUCCCCCUGCGGCCCCACAGUCCGUCCUGCGAGACGAGCUGAGCUUCGGGGCGUCACCCCUGCUCCACCCAGGAGGGAGCAGGCUCAGAGGGGCAGCCAUCGCCCAGAUCGCACCGGACUCCCACAGGCCGCUCCCGCCAAGCCCACAGCCCCCAGCCGGGCGGCAUCUGCAAACCUUGGGACCAAGGACGGGGGCGCAGGGCCUCACUGGGUCUGCAGGGACCUCCCUGGAGCCGGCCCCGCGACACCCUCCCCUCGCUCAGCAGCCUCCUGGGGCUCCCAGCUUCCACGGGAGGUUUCCUGGAGCAGGAUGCACACAGGCGUCUUUGAGGCGCCUCUGGAGGGAAACAGCCCAGCGUGAGCUGACGAGAACCUGCCCCCUGUCUCUGUCCCGGUCCCGGUGUCUCAGGAGGACGGUCUCGCUGGGCUCACGACGUCCCCCGGGCCCCGGUCUGGUGGCCCUUUGAGGCCAUGGAGCUGGACUUUCAUCGUCGCCUCUGCUCGCACACUUGCCUCUGGCUUGUUUCGCGGUUGUUUGAAAUAACUGCAAACUUUCCAGAAAACCUGCGGGAGCCACGAGGACUCCGAGGGCCCCCACGGGCUCGCCGGCCGCCAGCUCUCCCCACACGGCCGCAUCUCCUCUAUUUUCCUGCAUAUUUAAGGCGACUCCAGACACCAGCCCGAUUCACCCCGGCCGCUCGCGUGGGUUUCUAGGAACGAGGACGUUCUCAGGAAGCCGCCGCGUGACCGUCAAAACCAGAAAAAACAGCCUGGACACAAAAUGCCAUCUGAUCGAGAAUCCUCACGCGGGCUUCACGGUCGUCCCAAUAGCGCCCUUUACGGCCGGCGCGGCGGCGGCGUCCCCGGGGCCGUGGGGCCACGUGUCUGCGGACGUCCCCUGCGUCCUGGCUGCGCAGCCUCCCCCGGCUUCUCCCCGUCAAGCUCCAGGUUCCCUCUGCCUCCCCUUCUCUCUUCUUGUUUUACAUCCUUCUUUUCACGGCGAGUUGCACCAGUUUUCCGUUCACAGCGACGGUGCAACCCUUUCUGCACCAGUUCAUCGGGUCAAAGAAAUGGGUCGACGGGCCAAUUUGAAGAAACAUGUCAGCCCUGGAGGAUGGGCGCAUGUGGCCGGAGUGGUGACGGGGCCCGGGGUGGGGGUGACGCGAGGGCUCAGCGGAAGCGUCUCCCCCAACCAUGGACCUCCAGGGGCGAUUCCCAGCCUUCUCCAGUUUUAGAGGUUUGUGAGUCACUUUAGGAUGACGAGGUGUCUGCUGGGCCCGGCUUCCCGCAGAGCCGGCACCUGUGGCUGCUGACAAACCGCCCAAACGUCGAGGUUUGACAGCACAGCUCCGAUCCCCUACAGCUCUGGGGUCGGAGGUCGGGCUUGAUCGCUGGGCAACGACAUCAGGGUGUGGGCUGGGCUGCUUCCUUCCAGAGGCGCCAGGGAAGGAUCUGUCCCCGUGCCCAAGAAGAUGGACGGGAGACAGGAGACAACUCCACACUGAGGAGCCCGGGCCAGCAGGGUGGGGUCACCAGAGGCCACGGCGGGAGCUGGGGCCACAGAGGAGACGCCGUCUGAACAAGAUGACGGCCCCCCCAGCUCUCAGAGGGCCUCCCGGAGGAGGCGGCACCCAAGGGCCCUGGGAGGUGGUUCCAGGCAACUGAGCUGGGCGGGUGGGGGCAAAACCAGUGGAGCCCAGUGGCAGCUGACCAGCACGGCAGCCCCCAGACCACAGGCCCUCGUGUGGAACGGACGUCGAGCCUCACAAAGGUCUGAAUCCCUUCGUGCGCGGCUGGGUUGUCCUUCGUUCUGGUAACUGAGUUCAUCCCCAUCGUGCCAGGGAGGCCCCGUCCCUCGACCCCAUCUGCACACCCUCGUCCUCUCUCUAGGGCAGUGCAUCUGUCUCCACCCGGGACUGCCUCGGACGACCCACUGAGGCAGAAGAGACGGCUGUGCCCGUUUUGACUCGUGUGUGUUUCUACGCCUGUCGCCAGGAAAACACACCCAGCGAGCCCCCCAGAGGGUGAGACAGACACGGGGGCCACCGUGGAGUCACCCCAGCGGUGGGCACCUGUGGCGGAUGUGGCACCUGGGGCGUCCGCCUCACAGUUUUGUGCCCAAAGCUGGGGGACCUGGGGCCUUUCCUGGCCUGGGCAGCCGGCCCACAGUGCCCGUCCCCCCGGGGAAAGGCUGUUCAGAGGACGCGGAAACCCGGCUUCUGGGGGCCAAACCCCCGACUCUGAACCCCUGGGCCCAGCCAGGCCCCCGGCGAGGCAAGGAGUGGACGCCGCCCUUCCGAGAUCUGGUUAAGUUCUUCCGAAAUGGG